rnacentral:rRNA from 1 species
UACGUAGGGUGCGAGCGUUGUCCGGAAUUAUUGGGCGUAAAGGGCUCGUAGGCGGUCUGUUGCGUCAGGAGUGAAAACUCGGGGCUUAACCCCGAGCCUGCUUCUGAUACGGGCAGACUAGAGGUAUGCAGGGGAGAACGGAAUUCCUGGUGUAGCGGUGAAAUGCGCAGAUAUCGGGAAGAACACCCGUGGCUAAGGCGGCUCUCUAGUACGGUACUGACGCUGAGACGCGAAAGCGUGGGGAGCGAACAGG